AACACUGAAAGUCCUAAUGCAGUUGUGAGUUGUUUAUUAGCAAUGGUUACAUAUUUAAUCUUUACUAAUAUCUCUGCUUCUUCAAUGUCAAAGAUGAAUCAUUCCAGACCUGAGGAUGACAGAUACAAAGCACCUGAUGUUGAUACGACUGAACGUUUGUAUGAGAAUGUAAGAAUGAAUUAUUCCAGAGCUCAUGAUGACAGACUUAAUGAUUAUGAUUUUGAGUCAACUGAACCUGUGUAUGAGAAUGUAAUGCAAGACAGGCCAUAGUGUUUGGGACGUGUGGCAAAACAUUUUACAGCCUUUUUCUGUUUCUCUGUGGGAGCAGCCUGAAUGACUGACAGUGUCUUGAUUUACAGAAAUUAAUUUAGAAACUGGUUCUAUCACAGAGUGACUUACAAAUGAUAAGCCUUACGUGCUGAAAUUUCAUUUGACUGUAUUUUAAGCAUAAACCUAUUAUACGAAUUAGAAUGAAAACCAUCUUAAAUUACAACACACAAAAACUACAUAUAAAAACUAAUAUAAUCAUGUAAGAUCUCAUUGAAUGUUAAAUUUAACAACUAACAUUUUAUGUUAAAUUUGCCUAUUCUGUGUUUUUAAAGAUAUUGUAUAUUACAUUUUUAUUAAAGUGUAUUGUCAUAACGCAGGUUGUGUCUUUACUUUUUAUUUACAAGUGUUUGACCAGCAGAUGUCCUCUGCAGGCUGUGAUCAGAACAGUGAAUCAUUUUACAAAGCAAAUGAUUCAGUUGAUUUAAAUGCGGCGAGAGGCGUCAGGCACUGGAGGCAAUUGUGUGAAACAUUAACAAUUAUACUAACAUUCGAUUAUGCCACCCGGUAU